rnacentral:rRNA from 1 species
AGUGAACGCUGGCGGUAGGCCUAACACAUGCAAGUCGAACGGCAGCACAGUAAGAGCUUGCUCUUACGGGUGGCGAGUGGCGGACGGGUGAGGAAUACAUCGGAAUCUACUUUUUCGUGGGGGAUAACGUAGGGAAACUUACGCUAAUACCGCAUACGACCUACGGGUGAAAGCAGGGGAUCUUCUGACCUUGCGCGAUUGAACGAGCCGAUGUCGGAUUAGCUAGUUGGCGGGGUAAAGGCCCACCAAGGCUACGAUCCGUAGCUGGUCUGAGAGGAUGAUCAGCCACACUGGAACUGAGACACGGUCCAGACUCCUACGGGAGGCAGCAGUGGGGAAUAUUGGACAAUGGGCGCAAGCCUGAUCCAGCCAUACCGCGUGGGUGAAGAAGGCCUUCGGGUUGUAAAGCCCUUUUGUUGGGAAAGAAAAGCAGCAGGUUAAUACCCCGCUGUUCUGACGGUACCCAAAGAAUAAGCACCGGCUAACUUCGUG